rnacentral:rRNA from 1 species
GACGAACGCUGGCGGCGUGCCUAAUACAUGCAAGUCGAGCGGUAAAGGCUGGUACUUGUACCAACUGGAUGAGCAGAGAACGGGUGAGUAACGCGUGGGGAAUCUGCCUUACAGCGGGGGACCACAUUGGGAAACGGAUGAUAAUACCGCAUAAACACUUGAUACACAAGUGUGAAGGUUAAAUGUUGGCAUUGCGUGAUUCAAAGACGAUCCCUCGUUGUAUUGGCUAGGUGGUGAGGUAAAAGGUCACCAAGGCGUAGCCACAGCGCCGGCCUGAGCGGGUGGUCGGCCGCAUUGGGACUGUGACACGCCCCAUACGCCUUCGGGAGGCGGCCGUAGGGAAUCGUCGGCAAUGGACGAAAGUCUGUCCGCGCUACGCCGCGUGCGUGUGGAGGGAUUUCGGAUCGUAAAUCUCGGUUUGUAGGGAAUAACGUGGGUGAGAGUGGAAAGCUCAUCAAGUGACGGUAACUAGCCAGAAAGCGCCGGCUAACUACGUG